AUUUCUGGGAUACUUAGUACGGCGAGUGAAGCGGUAAAAGCUCAAAUUUGAAAUCUGGUACUUUCAGUGCCCGAGUUGUAAUUUGUAGAAUUUGUCUUUGAUUAGGUCCUUGUCUAUGUUCCUUGGAACAGGACGUCAUAGAGGGUGAGAAUCCCGUUUGGCGAGGAUACCUUUUCUCUGUAAGACUUUUUCGAAGAGUCGAGUUGUUUGGGAAUGCAGCUCAAAGUGGGUGGUAAAUUCCAUCUAAAGCUAAAUAUUGGCGAGAGACCGAUAGCGAACAAGUACAGUGAUGGAAAGAUGAAAAGAACUUUGAAAAGAGAGUGAAAAAGUACGUGAAAUUGUUGAAAGGGAAGGGCAUUUGAUCAGACAUGGUGUUUUUUGCAUGCACUCGCCUCUCGUGGGCUUGGGCCUCUCAAAAAUUUCACUGGGCCAACAUCAAUUCUGGCAGCAGGAUAAAUCAUUAAGAAUGUAGCUACUUCGGUAGUGUUAUAGCUUUUUGGAAUACUGUUAGCCGGGAUUGAGGACUGCGCUUCGGCAAGGAUGUUGGCAUAAUGGUUAAAUGCCGCCCGUCUUGAACCCACGGAACCA
rnacentral:rRNA from 1 species